rnacentral:rRNA from 1 species
AUACAGAGGGUGCGAGCGUUAAUCGGAAUUACUGGGCGUAAAGGGCGCGUAGGUGGUUAGGUCAGUCGGAUGUGAAAGCCCCGGGCUCAACUCGGGAAUUGCAUUCGAUACUGCCUGGCUUGAGUAUGGUAGAGGGAAGUGGAAUUCCGGGUGUAGCGGUGAAAUGCGUAGAUAUCCGGAGGAACACCAGUGGCGAAGGCGGCUUCCUGGACCAAUACUGACACUGAGGCGCGAAAGCGUGGGGAGCAAACAGGAUUAGAAACCCGAGUAGUCC